GACGAACGCUGGCGGCGUGCUUAACACAUGCAAGUCGAACGAAGUGGCGAACGGGUGAGUAAUAUAUAGUUAAUCUGCCCUACACAGAGGAACAACAGUUGGAAACGACUGCUAAUACCUCAUAGUGUAGGAUGAGACUAUAUCGUAUCAGCUAGUUGGUAAGGUAAUGGCUUACCAAGGCUAUGACGCGUAACUGGUCUGAGAGGAUGAUCAGUCACAUUGGAACUGAGACACGGUCCAAACUCCUACGGGAGGCAGCAGUAAGGAAUAUUGCGCAAUGGGGGAAACCCUGAUGCAGCAACGCCGCGUGCGGGAUGACGGCCUUCGGGUUGUAAACCGCUUUCAGCCAUGACGCGGUAGUGGCAGAAGAAGCACCGGCUAACUACGUGCCAGCAGCCGCGGUAAUUC
rnacentral:rRNA from 1 species